rnacentral:rRNA from 1 species
CCUACGGGAGGCAGCAGUGAGGAAUAUUGGUCAAUGGGCGCAAGCCUGAACCAGCCAAGUCGCGUGAGGGAUGACGGUCCUAUGGGUUGUAAACCUCUUUUGUCGGGGAGCAUAGCCCGCUACGUGUGGCGGGAAGGAGAGUACCCGAAGAAAAAGCAUCGGCUAACUCCGUGCCAGCAGCCGCGGUAAUACGGAGGAUGCGAGCGUUAUCCGGAUUUAUUGGGUUUAAAGGGUGCGUAGGCGGGAUGUUAAGUGAGUGGUCAAAUGUUGGGGCGGAAACGCGACAUGCCGUUGGAACUGGGCAUCCGUGAGUGCAGUAGAGGUAGGCGGAAUGCGUGGUGUAGCGGUGAAAUGCGUAGAUAGCACGAAGAACUACGAGUGCGAAGGCAGCCUGCUGGA